rfam:Pseudomonas monteilii strain TSDA-ARS-TSMARC-56711, complete genome.
UUGGUUAGAACUGACGCCAGUCGCCUCAGGACGAGACGGCGCCCCUGGCUCGCGACGCCGGCAGCGAGCGCAUUACCGGCAGACCCAGUCUGCCCGGCCUCCAGGAGGCCGACGGGACCUACAGUCAAC